rnacentral:rRNA from 1 species
GUCACUGCUAUCAGUGUUCGACUAAGCCUUGCAAGUCAAAUGUUCUUCGUGAACAUGGCGGACUGCUCAGUAACACGUGGAUAACCUGCCCUUAGGAUUGGCAUAACACCGGGAAACUGGUGAUAAUACCGAAUAGACCAUUUAUGCUGGAAUGCUUUUUGGUUCAAAGGCUUCGGCUGCCUAAGGAUGGAUCUGCGGCCUAUCAGGUAGUAGUGGGUGUAAUGUACCUACUAGCCUACGACGGGUACGGGUUGUGAGAGCAAGAGCCCGGAGAUGGAUUCUGAGACAUGAAUCCAGGCCCUACGGGGCGCAGCAGGCGCGAAAACUUUACAAUGCGGGAAACCGCGAUAAGGGGACACUGAGUGCCAGCAUAUUAUGUUGGCUGUCCACAUGUAUAAAUAGCAUGUGUUAGCAAGGGCCGGGCAAGACCGGUGCCAGCCGCCGCGGUAACACCGGCGGCCCGAGUGGUGAUCACUUUUAUUGGGUCUAAAGGGUCCGUAGCCGGUUUGAUCAGUCCUCCGGGAAAUCUGACAGCUCAACUGUUAGGCUUCCGGGGGAUACUGUCAGACUUGGGACCGGGAGAGGUAAGAGGUACUACAGGGGUAGGAGUGAAAUCUUGUAAUCCCUGUGGGACCACCAGUGGCGAAGGCGUCUUACCAGAACGGGUCCGACGGUGAGGGACGAAAGCUGGGGGCACGAACCGGAUUAGAUACCCGGGUAGUCCCAGCCGUAAACGAUGCUCGCUAGGUGUCAGGGACGGUGCGCCCGUUUCUGGUGCCGCAGGGAAGCCGUGAAGCGAGCCACCUGGGAAGUACGGCCGCAAGGCUGAAACUUAAAGGAAUUGGCGGGGGAGCACUACAACGGGUGGAGCCUGCGGUUUAAUUGGAUUCAACGCCGGA